CGGGGUGCAGCAGGCGCGAAAACUUUACAAUGCUGGAAACAGCGAUAAGGGGACCUCGAGUGCCAGGUUACAAAUCUGGCUGUCGUGAUGCCUAAAAAGCAUUGCAUAGCAAGGGCCGGGCAAGACCGGUGCCAGCCGCCGCGGUAACACCGGCGGCUCGAGUGGUAACCGUUAUUAUUGGGUCUAAAGGGUCUGUAGCCGGCCGGAUAAGUCUCUUGGGAAAUCCAGCAGCUCAACUGUUGGGCUUUCAGGAGAUACUGUCUGGCUCGAGGCCGGGAGAGGUGAGAGGUACUUCAGGGGUAGGGGUGAAAUCUUGUAAUCCUUGAAGGACCACCAGUGGCGAAGGCGUCUCACCAGAACGGACCUGACGGCAAGGGACGAAAGCUAGGGGCACGAACCGGAUUAGAUACCCGGGUAGUCCUAGCCGUAAACGAUACUCGCUAGGUGUCGGCCACGGUGCGACCGUUGUCGGUGCCGUAGGGAAGCCGUGAAGCGAGCCACCUGGGAAGUACGGCCGCAAGGCGGAAACUUAAAGGAAUUGGCGGGGGAGCAC
rnacentral:rRNA from 1 species